ACUCCUACGGGAGGCAGCAGUGGGGAAUAUUGGACAAUGGGCGCGAGGCUGAUCCAGCAUGCCGCGUGAGUGAUGAAGGCCUUAGGGUUGUAAAGCUCUUUUACCAGGGAUGAUAAUGACAGUACCUGGAGAAUAAGCUCCGGCUAACUCCGUGCCAGCAGCCGCGGUAAU
rnacentral:rRNA from 1 species